rnacentral:rRNA from 1 species
CUACGGGCCGCUCCAGUGGGGAAUACUGCACAAUGGGCGCAAGCCUGAUGCAGCCAUGCCGCGUGUAUGAAGAAGGCCUUCGGGUUGUAAAGUACUUUCAGCGGGGAGGAAGGGAGUAAAGUUAAUACCUUUGCUCAUUGACGUUACCCGCAGAAGAAGCACCGGCUAACUCCGUGCCAGCAGCCGCGGUAAUACGGAGGGUGCAAGCGGUAAUCGGAAUUACUGGGCGUAAAGCGCACGAAGGCGGUUUGUUAAGUCAGAUGUGAAAUCCCCGGGCUCAACCUGGGAACUGCAUCUGAUACUGGCAAGCUAGAGUCUCGUAGAGGGGGGUAGAAUUCCCGGUGUAGCGGUGAAAUGCGUAGAGAUCUGGAGGAAUACCGGUGGCGAAGGCGGCCCCCUGGACGAAGACUGACGCUCAGGUGCGAAAGCGUGGGGAGCAAACAGGAUUAGAUACCCUAGUAGUC